rnacentral:rRNA from 1 species
CGUAGGUAACCUGCCUGGUAGCGGGGGGUAACUAUUGGAAACGAUAGCUAAUACCGCAUAACAGUCGACAUUGCAUGAUGUUGAUUUGAAAAGGGGCAAUUGCUCCACUACCAGAUGGACCUGCGUUGUAUUAGCUAGUUGGUGAGGUAACGGCUCACCAAGGCGACGAUACAUAGCCGACCUGAGAGGGUGAUCGGCCACACUGGGACUGAGACACGGCCCAG